CAGCAGUCAACUAUGAACUGUUAUGUGCAUGCUGGCACCUUUUUGUCUACUAAAAAAACACUGAACUUCAUAAUGUAUUUUUGUUAACACUAAUGAGAUGUGUCCACUGUUUUAAAGAUUCACUGUGAAUGCCAUUGGUUGCGGUUGAUAUCUGUGCUCUACCACUUUUGAAAAUGGUAACCAGAUUGGAGUAUAUAAUGUUCAACCAAUCCAGCAUCGGUGAGGAGAGCCUGGCUGGAUAACACAGCGUGUGAUUGAGUGUUGGCUAUUGCAUUUCAUUUCAGUGACAGAUCUGUGCUACUCUUGUAGCCAGGCAAGCAACUGUCAAAUGCUGCAAGAACAGUAAAAGUACAAAGCAGAGGAUCAAAUUGCAGCCAAAACUCUGAAUGAAUAUUGAUAAUGAGCUUGGCUGUAACUAAACUAAGCAAAGCUGGCUAGUUGGAAGACAGAAACAGCAGUAUGUUCGGGGUAGCUUUUACAGUAAUUGUUCUCACCUCCAUUUCUGAUGUACAAAGUGGAGAAUUCUGCAUGCCUUUAACAGAAACCGAGUGCCUUCAAAGAAAAAAAUCAAGAUGUUUGCCAAGGAGCAAAUAUUGAAAAGAAAACAGUUUAUUAUACCUGGCUUCUCUUUCCCCGAUAUGGCUGAAAUCUGAAGAAAGGUCUCGACCCGAAAUGUCACCUAUCCAAAUUCUCAAGAAAUGCUGCCUGACCCACUGAGUGAUUCCAGCAACUUGUGUGCAUUUGAUGGCUGAUAUCUUCUUUGGUAAUUUUGUAUUUUUAAGAGCAUGCCAAACAAACUUUUGUUCGCAUUUGCCUUCGUCAUUCUGCAACUAACCAUGAACAAUUUGAGAGUUAUUAUUACACUUCCUUAAAAAUCAUUUGCUACUUGAUUAUUACUUGAUUGGUAAUUGUUCAUUUUAUAAAUUUGGCAUCUGUCAUUCAUGACACCGUUAUAACAAUGCAGCAAAGAAGCUCCGCGUGGGUUCAGAAGUUGAUAGAGGGUGUGAUCCUGAUAAGGUCAGUUAAUCAAAUCAAUAGCAUUGUGUCCCAGUGCAUCUUCACCAAGACACUGACAACUAUUUUAGUGGAGGAUGCACCUAAUCUUGUUGGUGCAAUGGGUAUGCACAGUGUUGCAGCGAUAGAGUUUCUGCCAUACAGCACCAGAGAUCUGGGUUCAAUCCUAACUACGGGUGCUGUCUGUAUGGAGUUUGCACAGAGUUUGUACUAUCUCCGUUAGCGUGUGGAUUUUCUCUGGGUGCUCUGUUUUCCUCCCACACUCCAAAGACGUACAGAUUUGUAGGUUAAUUGACUUCUGUAGAAUGUAAUUUGUCCCUAGUGUGUCGGAUACUGCUAGUGUAAGGGAUGAUCGCUGGUGCGCCGAAUGGCCUGCUUCAAUGCUGUAUCUCUAACGUGAGGAUGCAAUGAGCAAUCAAGUUCAAGUUCAAGUUCAGUUUAUUGUCAUGUGUCCCUGUAUAGGACAAUGAAAUUCUUGCUUUGCUUCAGCACACAGAACAUAGUAGGCAUUUACUACAAAACAGAUAAGCGUGUCCAUAUACCAUAAUAUAAAUAUAUACACACAAAUAAAUAAACUGAUACAGUGCAAAUAACAGAUAAUGGGUUAUUAAUAAUCAGAGUUUUGUCCGAGCCAGGUUUAAUAGCCUGAUGGCUGUGGGGAAGUAGCUAUUCCUGAACCUGGUUGUUGCAGUCUUCAGGCUCCUGUACCUUCUACCUGAAGGUAGCAGGGAGAUGAGCGUGUGGCCAGGAUGAUGUGGGUCUUUGAUGAUACUGCCAGCCUUUUUGAGGCAGUGAUUGCGAUAAAUCCCCUCGAUGGAAGGAAGGUCAGAGCCGAUGAUAGACUGGGCAGUGUUUACUGCUUUUUGUCCAAUCAAUUUUGUCCAAUCCAAUCAUGAAACAUGAGAGCAGCUGACCAGGGUAGGAUCUCACCUUGCAUUGGAUGAGAUGAGCCUAAAGAUUGUAAGGAACAGGCUGAGGAGCACGUGGUCCCUUGAUGCUCCGCUUUGCUAUUUUCCAGAUUAAGAUGCAAUUAAACCACAAUUUGCCUGAUCCCAAUAUGCUCUUCAUAUUCCUCGAAUCUUAAAUUAAAUUGGUCUCAGCGUUAAAUAUACUGUAUUACUGAACACCCAGAGACCUCUGAAGUACAGAAUUCCAAAGAGUUAUAGGUAAAGAAAUUUCUCUUCUUCUCUUUUAAAAUGUUGUUUCCUUAACGUGAGACAAUACAACUAGUCCUUCCUCAACAUGAGACCCUACACUCUAGUUCCAGACACCAGCUGGAAGAGAAUCCUAGAAUCCUAGAAUCAUACAACACAGUAACCAACCCUUUGGCUUCAACAAGUCACGAUCUGUCAAGAAGUUAUCAAGAUUAACUCGACACUCAUCCUAUUUUAUUCUUCCCAUGUUCCCAUCAACUUCCCCCUGGAUUAUAACACUCACCUACACACUAGGAGCUAUUAAGAAUAAGAGCCUAAGAAUGUAGGAGCAUGCAUAGGCCACUCAGCUCCUCAAAUCUAUCUUGCCCUUCAUGGGUGAUCUGCCCCAGGUCAUAUCUCCCAGUUCACCAUAUUCCACAAUUUGUUAAUCUUUCAAACAAAUUAUUCAUUUUCUCUUUAAAUAUCCCAAAUUGAGUGAAUUAUAGUGAUUCACCACCCUCAGCGAGAAGAAGUUCUGGAAUGGUCAUAUAAAAUUGGAAGCCUCAAUUUUAUAUGACCAUCCUCUUACCUAGUAACUAUAUCUCCUUUCACAACUUUCACAAGUGGGAUUAUUUCACCGUCUAACCCGCCAUGUCCCCUCAGAAUCUUACAGUUAGUUUAGUUUAGUUUAGUUUACAGAUACAACAUGGAAACAGGCCCUUCAGCCCACUGAGUUUGCGCCAACCAACAAUCAUCUGUACACUACUUCUAUCUUAUGCACGAGGGACAAUUUACAGAGGCAAAUUAACCGACAAACCUGCACGUCUUUGGAUUGUGGGAGGAAAUCGGAGCACCCAGAGAAUAUCUACGCGGUCACACAGAGAAUAAACAAACUCCGUAAAGAAUUUACCCGUAGCCUGGAUCAAACCAACGUCACCUACGCUGUAAGGCAGCAACUGUACUGCUGUGCCACUGUGCCACCCUGUUUCAAUAAGAUCACACCUCACUCUUCUAAUCUCCAAAAUAUGGAUCCAAUAUCUUUAGUCACUUAUGAUCGGACAAACCUCUCAUUCCAUCAAUUUUCAAAUUAAUAUCUUUUGAACCACCUCUCAAUGUCAGUAUAUCCUUUCUUACACAAGAAAACCAAGGAGGUGAUGGUAUUGCAGGUGUGAUCAGGUCAUCUACCAACCCACAUGUCUUUGGGAUGUGGGAUGUCUGUUUCUAACCGGAAGCCUGGCAGUGGUUGAGCAGCCACAAGCUCAGCAUCAGUUGGCCUCUGUGAACACACAGACUAGCUUCUAACACUUUUGAAAGGUAUAAAACCAUCAUAGCGAUUUCUUAAAGCACGGGUGUCCCAAUUUCACAAUAUGUUUUGUGGACAGCCAAAAUGGAAGCACCCACUUAAAACAUCAUAAAUGGAUGAAAUCCAUUCUCUAGAUGGAAGUCUCAUGUUCUCAGGUUAAGUUUGAGAAUCAAUAUUCAGGCGAGGAGGUGAAGAGGGAGAAGAAGAAAUGGCAUUAAGUAUAGGCCAGUCUGUGCAUGAUUGAAGGAAAAAUCACAUUUAAGGGUGACACUAUCCAAUUAAUUUCUGUCCGUUUUUCUGGUGAGGUGGUGAUAGAAAUCUUGCAGUUAAUAACUUGCCCAAGCUGUGAUGUGGAGAAUGCUCAGGCUAGGAACAAAGAGUCAUAGAGCCAUAGAGUCAUACUGCAUCGAAAACAGGCCCUUCAGCCCAACUUGCCCACACCAACCAACAUAUCCCAUCUGCACUAGUCCCAUUUGCUUGCAUUUGUCCCAUAUCCCUCUAAACCUAUCUUUUCCACAUACCUGUCUAUAUUUUUCUUAAAUGUUGUGCUGCCUCAACUACCUGCUCCAGCACCCCGUUCCGUCCACCCACCACCCUUGGUGUAUAAAAAGUUAUGCCUGGGGUACCUAUUAAAUCUUUCCCCCCUCACUUUAAACCUAUGCCUUCUGGUUCUCGAUUCCCAUACUUUGGGCAAGAGAUUCUGUGCGCUUACCAAAUCUAUUCCACUCAUGGUUUCGUACACCUCUUUAAGAUCACCCUAUUUCCCCCUGCACUCCAAGGAAUAGAAUCCUAGCCAGCUCAACCUUUCCCUACAUCUUAGACCUGGCAACAUCCUCGCCAAUCUUCUCUGCACCAUUUACACCCUUGCAAUCCUCAAAAUAUAAUGGGGGAAGAAAAAUUGCAAAUUAUUUAGUUAUUACAAGAUAAAGUAACAGAUUGUGAGAAAGAAAUGGGAUUAUAGCCUUACGAGGAAAUAAUUGCAUAUUAUCUCCUAAAAUUUGGAAAAUAAUGUUCUGAAAUAUAAUCCAGAUACAAAUAUUCCAAUAGAAACAGCUGUUGAAAAAUCACAAACAAUUAUGUCUCUGCAAAUCACUUCAUAUUGAACUAAUAUUCACUAUUACGCAUGAAUGAUCUUGAUCAUCUACUUAUUUUUAAAGAAUGGAUGUGGUUAACAAAUAUUUAUCAAUUAUAUUCUUGGUAAAAUAGAUUUCACCACUAAGAUUUGCAUUGCAACCCUAAUUAAGAGUAGGAUAAGGUUAAUGUUUUUGAAAUUACCAUUAAAAACAUACAAUUUAAAAAAAAUAUGGAGUAGAAAGCAUGCUCCAGAAAUGCAUAUAUUAUUAUUGUGGUUACCUGAAGUGCAUGGUAUCCAAUUUAUACAUGUUAAACACUCAUUACAACUGGAAGAGAAGCCAAUGAUUACAUAUAAAAGCAUAAAACAAUUAUAGAUUAUAAUCACAAUGCAUAGUCAAUGUCAUGUCAUUGGUUCAUACGUAAAUCUCUAAAGACUUCAUCGAUCUUUUCAUUUUGUUGCUUCAUUUUAUUAGCCAAUAAUUUUUGCAAAUUUUUAAAAAGCGACAUGAAAAUUUGAUGUGAUCACAUUGUCAUAUAUUUAAAUAUAGCAUAACUAAAGACUGCAAAGCUUUCAAACUUUUGACCCAUUCUCUCAUUUUGAUCUCGCAACAUCUUUUCUGUUUUUUUGUAAAUAGUGAAAUGUUCAUCCCAUCCUUGUCAACUUAAGAAGAUAGCUGUAUAUUUUGGUAACCAAAACAUUUCCUGAUUAAUGGCAGCCACUCACCAACCCCUUGACCUGACUGAUGACAGCUAGCAAAAAUAAUGUUGUUAUUAUUUAAAACAAAGUACUACAAGAUUCGUAGGAAUCUCCAUAGAUUGCUUCUUAGGUGUUUUAAAACAACCGGAUAAAAUGGAAUCUCUACCUCAAGGUUUAGACUGGCGAAGGAAAUUGUUAUUUUUUAUCCAUCAGGACAGCUUUUAGUGGAUAGUUCUAAUGCACAAGGUGUUUUCAGGAGUACACUAGCACUUGAAGUUCUUUGGCUGCCUUCAUCAGUGUCAACUAAUGUUUACACAUGUACUCAUCACACCAUAACCUGCAGAGCAAAGAAUCAGUGCAAUAUACCAUAUAUCCCAUUGGAAGUAAAACCACAUAAUAGUUGGAAAGAUAAAGAUCAGUGGCACCCAUCUCCCAGAUACAUUUUAGCACUGAGUAAUUUCCUGCCUUCUUCACAGUAUGACCAAAAUGCAAUAGGAUAAAUAAACUUAAACCUACUCAUCACCUUAAUAUCAUUCUGUCACAUUAAUGAACGAGGCUCGAACAUUUGUCAGUACAAACAAUAUAUCCGACAAGGAAAGAAUUUUACAGAAACUAGUUCCAGGAAGAAUGAAAUUGAAUUAAAUCACGAUGUUAUGAAAAAAGCAUAGUCAAAAAUUAACUUUUACUGUGCAGAAAAACUGGAAGUAGUUAGGUGAAGUUCUUCUCGGAUAAUUAUCCUAAUCAGAAGAGAUAAGAUGCUAUCAUUUCUUAAAUAUAAUUACUUACAGUUGUCCUACCAUGGUGAUCCCCAGCUAUGGAACAUAGCAAAUAGCUAACAUUAAGUUAGUAGCUAAAGUUCUGAACAACAGAUUGCUAGAAAAGAAUUCCAAUAUAUGUAAUUAUUUUUCUAUCCAAUUUCUUAGGAGUUGGAACACCUGAGUUACUGCUAGAUAUUAGAUAUUAUCUUUGUACUUACCCUUUGCAUCAAAUCCCUAAAUUAUUCAUCCAUUUAAAUGAAGUGGCUGCCAACUGCAGUACCACUAAAUUAUUGUAUUUAUGGAACAAUUACAGCAGGACUGAUUCUAAUCAAAUUUCACAGUAGGAGUAUAGUAACAUAUAGACUGGAUUUUACAAUGUAAGUAGUAUUCUUUAUCAGCCCUAACAUUUUGUGCUUGGCACUAGCAAUGACAUUUCUUACAUUGGCUGCAAGAUGUCUCUGAUGUGCAAUUUUU